CACGUAGGGCGCGAGCGUUGUCCGGAAUUAUUGGGCGUAAAGAGCUCGUAGGCGGCCUGUUGCGUCCGCUGUGAAAGCCCGGGGCUUAACCCCGGGUCUGCAGUGGAUACGGGCAGGCUAGAGGUAGGUAGGGGAGAAUGGAAUUCCCGGUGUAGCGGUGAAAUGCGCAGAUAUCGGGAGGAACACCGGUGGCGAAGGCGGUCUGCUGGGCAGUUGCUGACACUGAGGCGCGACAGCGUGGGGAGCAAACAGG
rnacentral:rRNA from 1 species